rnacentral:rRNA from 1 species
UACGUAGGGGGCAAGCGUUAUCCGGACUUACUGGGUGUAAAGGGAGCGUAGACGGCGAUGCAAGUCUGAAGUGAAAGGCGGGGGCCCAACCCCCGGACUGCUUUGGAAACUGUAUGGCUGGAGUGCAGGAGAGGUAAGUGGAAUUCCUAGUGUAGCGGUGAAAUGCGUAGAUAUUAGGAGGAACACCAGUGGCGAAGGCGGCUUUCUGGCUCAUAACUGACGCUGAGGCGCGAAAGCGUGGGGAGCAAACAGG